UUACACGGCCAUACCACCCUGAACACGCCUGAUCUCGUCUGAUCUCGGAAGCUAAGCAGUGUCGGGCCUGGUUAGUACUUGGAUGGGAGACCGCCUGGGAAUAUCAGGUGCUGUAAGCU